ensembl:lincRNA Gm28703 predicted gene 28703
UGGCAGUGCAGUGACACAGGCUGGCGAUAUUACCAUGGAGCACGAACUUCUUAUGAGACAGACAGAGAAAACCUUUUCAGAACCAUGGCAAGCCAAGAAGAAGCAAAGAGAAUGUAUGUGCCAGACAUGGCUUGCAAACUCCCAAUAUGAGCACCUGCUGUUGACAUUUGGAGAUCCACCCUAAAGACAAGUGCGAAGCCAUGAGGAAUAAACUGACAUAGGAACCCUGUUUUGUUAAUAUUUUUUAAAAUGAUAUAUCUGACUAACUACAUCUGCUUCUCACCAAGGUUUCGAAAAUGGUUUACAAACACAGGAGUCAUUUUUUAACAGGGUUAUAGUGAAACAAUUGGGACUGGAUCAUGCUCAUUCUCAAGCUUGAAAUGAUUGACGUAGAGAGCCUGAGAGAUAUGGAACUGUCUAAGGAGUGAUAUGUUUAAUUGAAUAUACAUAUUUAGAAUGUUGUGUAAAGAUACAGGUGUGUAUACACACACACACAUGCAGGUUUGGAACCUCACCUUUGAGAUUUCACUGUUUCCCAUUGGACUUUAUACCAUAGCAAAUGUGUGAAUGUGAAAAUUUCUCCUCCUUCUCUUAGUAUCUUAGCAAGAAUUUCUACUUCAGUGCUUUCCGGAAUGAUUCCUUCAGGUGUAAACUUACGAUUUUUAGAGUUUUUCGAAAUCAAACAUCUAAGAAAUGUAGCAUCUGAACAAUGGAAGUUUUUCAGUGGAAGUAUUGUUUGGACUUUUUUUUUCCAGGAUUUUUGUUUCUUACCAUGCAAAGUGUUCCUCAAAACAACUGAAAUGCAACAGAUAAGGGGUGUGUAGAUCAUUCCAAAAUACUAAGAAACCUGAGCUUCAUGUCUAAGAGUUUCCAUAAACUUGGUGGUGUUUAUGAGCCUAGGAAGCUGUGCUGGCUGAGUUGUACACCUGUUGAAAUAAGGACAUUGGCUCCCCACAAGAGUCUCUUGAUUUAGAAAAUAACAGUUCAUGUUAUCAUCCACUGUAAAGUAAACGAUACUGUGACAUUUUACACUUGAUUUUGGAAGCCCAUGAGGAUAACAGCACUCAGCUGUUUACAAUGACUGUUUUCUCCUCAAAUGUAUCCAGAGGUUUGCUUUGAACCAUAGGAAGCUAUUAACAAUUUUGGAACAAUUUUGGCC